CGCGGCCUAUCAGCUUGUUGGUGAGGUAACGGCUCACCAAGGCAUCGACGGGUAGCUGGUCUGAGAGGACGGUCAGCCACACUGGGACUGAGACACGGCCCAGACUCCUACGGGAGGCAGCAGUGGGGAAUCUUGCGCAAUGGGCGAAAGCCUGACGCAGCCACGCCGCGUGAGGGAUGAAGGCUUUCGGGUUGUAAACCUCUUUCAGCAGGGACGAAAAUGACGGUACCUGCAGAAGAAGCUCCGGCCAACUACGUGCCAGCAGCCGCGGUAACACGUAGGGAGCAAGCGUUGUCCGGAUUUAUUGGGCGUAAAGAGCUCGUAGGCGGUUCAGUAAGUCAGGUGUGAAAGUCCAAGGCUCAACCUUGGAACGCCACUUGAUACUGCUGUGACUAGAGUCCGGUAGAGGAGUGUGGAAUUCCUGGUGUAGCGGCGAAAUGCGCAGAUAUCAGGAGGAACACCGACGGCGAAGGCAGCACUCUGGGCCGGUACUGACGCUGAGGAACGAAAGCAUGGGGAGCGAACAGGAUUAGAUACCCUGGUAGUCCAUGCCGUAAACGUUGGGCACUAGGUGUGGGGCCUUAUCAACGGGUUCCGUGCCGUAGCUAACGCAUUAAGUGCCCCGCCUGGGGAGUACGG
rnacentral:rRNA from 1 species